CCUUAACGGAUUUGCUAUUUUCCUGCCUGCCUUUCCUGCUCUGUCCUGGGCAAGUCUAUCCUCAGACUCUAGAAAAGGUCUGGGGAGCCAGGAGCAGCUGAAUUCAAUACUAGUUAAAUGAUUGAAUGAAUGGAAUUCAGUCACCCUGCCCGAAGAAACUGAGUCCAGGAUGGGUGGUGAUCGAUCCCAGGCUAUGAAGAGAGACUGUGGGAGAGUCAGGGAUCCAACAAGAGACUCCUGCUUCUCCCCGCUGGCCAGGAUAGCUGGAGGUCACAAGUAAUUUCAGGAGGAGGAAACUGGCCCAGCGAGGCAGCCUCAGAUCACAGGCAAAUUCUUUGCCAUCUGAGCCAAGGAGACCAGAAAUCGCCCUGGGAGUUGAAUGCAUCUUUCAUGAUACUGUCUCCUGCUUCCCCUGCCACCCACGGACUCGCAGCACACCCGAAGGCUGAAGAUCAUUCAGUGUUAGAAAGACUCAGCAUAGAAAAGGAUGCUGCCUUGUCCUUCAGAGAUGCCAGGGCCUAGCUCUGCAACUGACAGCCCUCGAGCUGGAUGCUGGCGGCCUGGGGCAGGAUUCCCAGGACGUGGCCCCCUAAAGGCAUGCCUGUUGUGCCCUUCCCUCCCUAUGCAUCCACCAUGGGCUUCCCUGAUGGCU
ensembl:lncRNA